AUUGAACGCUGGCGGCAUGCUUUACACAUGCAAGUCGAACGGUAACAGGGUGCUUGCACCGCUGACGAGUGGCGAACGGGUGAGUAAUGCGUCGGAACGUGCCGAGUAGUGGGGGAUAACGCAGCGAAAGUUGUGCUAAUACCGCAUACGUACUGAGGUAGAAAGUGGGGGACCUUCGGGCCUCACGCUAUUCGAGCGGCCGGCGUCUGAUUAGCUAGUAGGUGGGGUAAAGGCUCACCUAGGCGACGAUCAGUAGCGGGUCUGAGAGGAUGAUCCGCCACACUGGGACUGAGCCCCGGCCCAGACUCCUGCGGGAGGCAGCAGUGGGGAAUUUUGGACAAGGGGCGAAAGCCUGAUCCAGCCAUGCCGCGUGUCUGAAGAAGGCAUUCGGGUUGUAAAGGACUUUUGUCAGGGAGGAAAUCCCUAGUGCUAAUAACACUGGGGGAUGACAGUACCUGAAGAAUAAGCACCGGCUAACUACGUGCCAGCAGCCGCCGUAA
rnacentral:rRNA from 1 species